AGUCUUCCUACCUCGUCCUCCCAAAGAGCUUGGGAUUACAGGCUUGAGCCACUGUGCCUGGCCUUCCCAUCUUUAUAGUGUAUCUUACCCUCUUGCAUGGUCUGCCCCAUCCCUGGCCUUAGCCCUGCUCUUCUCACCUCCUGUCUUUUCAGGUCACACAUUUUAUGACCAAGUGGCUAGGGUACUGUUGACACACAUGACUGGAAAGAGCCUGAGGAAGAAAUGGGGAGGGAGAUGAAUCUGAAGGCUAGGUUGUAAAGAACCCAUCCCCACUUCCUCCUGGAACACUUAGGGUCUAAGAGUCAUGUGCAGUUAGUCUUGAAAAGAACCUCUGAUUGGUAGCUCUUUCAUUUACUGGCAUGGCCACUCUUUAUCUUCUCCAUGGGAAUCUGGUCUCCAAGUCACUCUCCACUUGCCCAGUAUCUCUCUGCUGAGGAAGGGGCUAAGAGGUCUGAGGAAUUAUGACCCCUGCCUACCUCCUGAUAUUACUUACAUUGUGAGGAGACCUUUAGCCAGCUGGGAGGCCAAGGAUGGUAUGGGAUUGGGAGUAAGGCAAGAUCCAUUUGUUGAGCAAUGAGAGUGUUGAGAAAGAAAGAAAAAACUCUACAGGUGGGAAAAAGGAAGUAGAAAAGGAAAAGAGAAGAUCCUGGAGAGGGAGAUGACCUAAGAGAAGAGAGCAGGUGAGGAAUAAGGGUGUCGAGGAGGCAAGGGGCUAUCCCUGGGGCUCUAACCUGUGACCAGAGGGUCCAGGGAGCUGUGGCUGAGGUUUUUCUUACCACUGCGAAGCCCACCAUGGCUGGACAGCUGCAGGGCUCUCUCAGGGCAGUUCCAGCGGUCCCAGGCAAACUGAUACUUGCAUUCUUCAAUACCACUCUGGGCACCAGCUGCCACACUGCUGGAGUAAAUCAGGUAAGCCUGUAGGGACAUAGGGGUAAAAAUUCAGACUGAACUUAGGAGGCAUUUACCCUAAACUGACCAAACAGCCCUCUUCCUGCUCACUCUCCCAUCCCUCCAAAAUAAUGGAGUAAGCCUUUAAAUAUGCUGUCUCAUUUGACAUCACAAAUAACUUGUGAAAUAGGCACUAUAUUAUAGAUUAGGAAACUGAGGCCCAGGGAGUGAGCUAAAGUAAUUUCCCCAAAGUCCCAGAGCUAGCAAAUGGCAGAACUAGAAAUGAAACUCAGUUUUAUCAGACUCUAGUCCCUAUUAUCCUUUAUUCACCUUUCUUCACUAUACUAUCCUGUCUCUCCAAAAUGAGCCCAAAUCACCUAAUUCAUGAAAUUUAAGGAGUUCUCAUCACAUGACCAUCUUAGAAAACAACAUUUUGGAACUGAAAAUGCCCAUGAAUGUAAAGAUCAUGUAGUACAAUUCCAGCAUUUUAAACAUGGGAAACUGCAUCCCACCACGGGGCACUGAGAAGGAUGUGUGACUUUGCAGCCUGACACCUAUAAAAGGCUGUUGACUUUUAUGGCUCUGGAAAUUCUAGCCAUAAAUUCAGUGCUCCUGCGUUCUUAUCUUGGCGCUGACAGUGGUUUGCUAUGUGGUUUUAGAUGUGUCCCUAACACCCUCUGGGUCUCAAUCUUUCUAUCUGUAAUGUAUACAGCAUAAUAAAAUAUGUGGAUAUAAUGAAAAAUCUGCAUUUAUCAUCUUUAGUCAACAGGCUAAGAUUAGUGAAAUCCAUAUCAAUUAAUGGAAUUUGUUCUUACCUUUGGACCAGUCAUCAGGAAAUUGUUCACCGACCUAUAAGGGAAAAAAAAAACAAAAACAGAAUAUAAUGCAGAGACACCAACUUGUUUCUGCUUCCAAGAGUGACAGGAAAUCUGAGACUCCAGAAAAGUUAAACGUGUGUUCAGGCUCACCCAGCUAAUAAGUGAGUGAAGCAGGAUUUGAAUCCACAUUCAUCUGACUCCGUGGGACGUUAGAAGGAUACUUCUCUAAUUAGGAAGAGAAACAGAGACUGAAACAUAGAGUGGCCACCCAGCCUCACACAGCUAGACACUUGAAUUUGGACAGACAAGCAACCCAGCCACCUUUCAGUGUGGCUGUGUCAGUAUCGGAAUGAAAUGAACAUGACCCCCUCCAGCAGGGAAGGGAACACACAGUAAAGAUGGUCAAAAUGAGAGCUGAUGAAGAGAGAGACUGAGCUCAUAUCUGAACUGGAGAGAAACUCCGAACACCCUAGCAACCUGCAUUCUGUAUGUUAUUGUGUACUGGUGUAUUUGCUAAUGAACAGUUGCAUGUAUAGAUAGUUUAUGUGGUUUCCAAGAGCUAAAUGAGAAUGGUGAUGAUAUUCUUUAGCAUUUGUGUUUAUAAUUUACAAAGCACUUUCAUAUACGUUAUCUGAUUUUCUGAACAAUUUAGAAAUAUUUGUAAAUUGAACAAAUUAAAUAAAUUUCUCGAGACGUUUAGA
rnacentral:lncRNA from 1 species